rnacentral:rRNA from 1 species
GUAGGUGGCAAGCGUUGUCCGGAAUUAUUGGGCGUAAAGCGCGCGCAGGCGGUCCUUUAAGUCUGAUGUGAAAGCCCACGGGCUCAACCGUGGAGGGUCAUUGGAAACUGGGGGACUUGAGUACAGAAGAGGAAAGCGGAAUUCCACGUGUAGCGGUGAAAUGCGUAGAGAUGUGGAGGAACACCAGUGGCGAAAGCGGCUUUCUGGUCUGUAACUGACGCUGAGGCGCGAAAGCGUGGGGAGCAAACAGGAUUAGAUACCCUGGUAGUCCACGCCGUAAACGAUGAGUGCUAAGUGUUAGGGGGUUUCCGCCCCUUAGUGCUGCAGCUAACGCAUUAAGCACUCCGCCUGGGGAGUACGGCCGCAAAGGCUG